rnacentral:rRNA from 1 species
AGUGAACGCUGGCGGUAGGCCUAACACAUGCAAGUCGAACGGCAGCACAUUAAGAGCUUGCUCUUACGGGUGGCGAGUGGCGGACUGGUGAGGAAUACAUCGGAAUCUACUUUUUCGUGGGGGAUAACGUAGGGAAACUUACGCUAAUACCGCAUACGACCUACGGGUGAAAGAAGGGGAUCUUCGGACCUUGCGCGAUUGAAUGAGCCGAUGUCGGAUUAGCUAGUUGGCGGGGUAAAGGCCCACCAAGGCGACGAUCCGUAGCUGGUCUGAGAGGAUGAUCAGCAACAGUGGAACUGAGACACGGUACAGACUCCUACGGGAGGCAGCAGUGGGGAAUAUUGGACAAUGGGCGCAAGCCUGAUCCAGCCAUACCGCGUGGGUGAAGAAGGCCUUCGGGUUGUAAAGCCCUUUUGUUGGGAAAGAAAAGCAGAAGGUUAAUACCCCGAUGUUCUGACGGUACCAAAAGAAUAAGCACCGGCUAACUUCGUG